GCAGUCGAACGGUAACAGGAAACAGCUUGCUGUUUUGCUGACGAGUGGCGGACGGGUGAGUAAUGUCUGGGAAACUGCCUGAUGGAGGGGGAUAACUACUGGAAACGGUAGCUAAUACCGCAUAACGUCGCAAGACCAAAGAGGGGGACCUUCGGGCCUCUUGCCAUCGGAUGUGCCCAGAUGGGAUUAGCUAGUAGGUGGGGUAACGGCUCACCUAGGCGACGAUCCCUAGCUGGUCUGAGAGGAUGACCAGCCACACUGGAACUGAGACACGGUCCAGACUCCUACGGGAGGCAGCAGUGGGGAAUAUUGCACAAUGGGCGCAAGCCUGAUGCAGCCAUGCCGCGUGUAUGAAGAAGGCCUUCGGGUUGUAAAGUACUUUCAGCGGGGAGGAAGGGAGUAAAGUUAAUACCUUUGCUCAUUGACGUUACCCGCAGAAGAAGCACCGGCUAACUCCGUGCCAGCAGCCGCGGUAUACGGAGGGUGCAAGCGUUAAUCGGAAUUACUGGGCGUAAAGCGCACGCAGGCGGUUUGUUAAGUCAGAUGUGAAAUCCCCGGGCUCAACCUGGGAACUGCAUCUGAUACUGGCAAGCUUGAGUCUCGUAGAGGGGGGUAGAAUUCCAGGUGUAGCGGUGAAAUGCGUAGAGAUCUGGAGGAAUACCGGUGGCGAAGGCGGCCCCCUGGACGAAGACUGACGCUCAGGUGCGAAAGCGUGGGGAGCAAACAGGAUUAGAUACCCUGGUAGUCCACGCCGUAAACGAUGUCGACUUGGGGUUGUGCCCUUGAGGCGUGGCUUCCGGAGCUAACGCGUUAAGUCGACCGCCUGGGGAGUACGGCCGCAAGGUUAAAACUCAAAUGAAUUGACGGGGGCCCGCACAAGCGGUGGAGCAUGUGGUUUAAUUCGAUGCAACGCGAAGAACCUUACCUGGUCUUGACAUCCACGGAAGUUUUCAAAGAUGAGAAUGUGCCUUCGGGAACCGUGAGACAGGUGCUGCAUGGCUGUCGUCAGCUCGGGUUGGGAAUGUUGGGUUAAGUCCCGCAACGAGCGCAACCCUUAUCCUUUGUUGCCACCGGUCCGGCCGGGAACUCAAAGGAAACUGCCAGUGAUAAACUGGAGGAAGGUGGGGAUA
rnacentral:rRNA from 1 species